rnacentral:rRNA from 1 species
UACAGAGGUCCCGAGCGUUGUUCGGAUUCAUUGGGCGUAAAGGGUGCGUAGGCGGCGGGGUAAGUUUGAUGUGAAAUCCCGGGGCUCAACCCUGGAAUUGCAUUGAAUACUACCUUGCUAGAGUACUGGAGAGGAAACUGGAAUUUACGGUGUAGCAGUGAAAUGCGUAGAGAUCGUAAGGAAGACCAGUGGCGAAGGCGAGUUUCUGGACGGUAACUGACGCUGAGGCACGAAGGCCAGGGGAGCAAACGGG